rnacentral:rRNA from 1 species
GUCUAUGGCCAUGCCACCCUGAACAAGCCUGAUGUCUGAUCUUGGAAGCUAAGCAGGGUUAGGCCUGGUUAGUACUUGAAUAGGAGAACACCUAGGAAGACUAGGUACUGUAGGCA